rnacentral:rRNA from 1 species
UACGUAGAGAGCAAGCGUUACUCGGAAUCGCUGGGCGUAAAGAGCGUGUAGGCGGAUAGAUAAGUCAGAAGUGAAAUCCAAAUAGCUUAACUAUUGAACUGCUUUUGAAACUGUCUAUCUAGAGUAUGGGAGAGGUAGAUGGAAAUUUCUGGUGUAGGGGGUAAAAUCCGUAGAGAUCAGAAGGAAUACCGAUUGCGAAGGCGAUCUACUGGAACAUAACUGACGCUGAGACGCGAAAAGGCUGGGGAGCGAAACAGG